AGGCGCGAAAACUUUACAAUGCGGGCAACCGCGAUAAGGGGACCUCGAGUGCUGGCAUACAAUGUCGGCUGUCGUGAUGCCUAAAAAGCAUUAUAUAGCAAGGGCCGGGCAAGACCGGUGCCAGCCGCCGCGGUAACACCGGCGGCUCGAGUGGUGACCGCUAUUAUUGGGUUUAAAGGGUCUGUAGCCGGCCGGAUUAGUCUCUUGGGAAAUCUGGCCGCUUAACGGUCAGGCUUUCAGGAGAUACUGUCUGGCUCGAGGCCGGGAGAGGUGAGAGGUACUUCAGGGGUAGGGGUGAAAUCUUGUAAUCCUUGGAGGACCACCAGUGGCGAAGGCGUCUCACCAAAACGGACCUGACGGCAAGGGACGAAAGCUAGGGGCACGAACCGGAUUAGAUACCCGGGUAGUCCUAGCCGUAAACGAUACUCGCUAGGUGUCGGCCGCGGUGCGACCGUGGUCGGUGCCGUAGGGAAACCGUGAAGCGAGCCACCUGGGAGGUACGGCCGCAAGGCUGAAACUUAAAGGAAUUGGCGGGGGAGCACCACAACGGGUGGAGCUUGCGGUUUAAUUGGAUUCAACGCCGGAAAGCUUACCGGGAUCGACAGCAAUCUGAAGGCCAGGCUGAAGACCUUGCCGGAUUAGCUGAGAGGUGGUGCAUGGCCGUCGUCAGUUCGUACUGUGAAGCAU
rnacentral:rRNA from 1 species